rnacentral:tRNA from 1 species
GGCACGGGCGGGCCGAUCGGACGGGCGGCCGGAUGGGCCCCGGCCCGGUGCCCGGCGCACCGGUCCGUGCCGAGGUCGUGCCCGGCCGGGCCC